AUUGAACGCUGGCGGCAUGCUUUACACAUGCAAGUCGAACGGUAACAGGCCUUCGGGUGCUGACGAGUGGCGAACGGGUGAGUAAUGCAUCGGAACGUGCCCAGAGGUGGGGGAUAACGCAGCGAAAGCUGUGCUAAUACCGCAUGUGAUCUGAGGAUGAAAGCGGGGGACCAGGCAGCAAUGUUUGGCCUCGCGCCUUUGGAGCGGCCGAUGUCAGAUUAGGUAGUUGGUGGGGUAAAGGCCUACCAAGCCGACGAUCUGUAGCUGGUCUGAGAGGACGACCAGCCACACUGGGACUGAGACACGGCCCAGACUCCUACGGGAGGCAGCAGUGGGGAAUUUUGGACAAUGGGCGCAAGCCUGAUCCAGCAAUGCCGCGUGCGGGAAGAAGGCCUUCGGGUUGUAAACCGCUUUUGUACGGAACGAAAAGGCUCAGGCUAAUACCUGGGGCUGAUGACGGUACCGUAAGAAUAAGCACCGGCUAACUACGUG
rnacentral:rRNA from 1 species